UGCGUAGGUGGUUUCUUAAGUCAGAGGUGAAAGGCUACGGCUCAACCGUAGUAAGCCUUUGAAACUGGGAAACUUGAGUGCAGGAGGGGAGAGUGGAAUUCCUAGUGUAGCGGUGAAAUGCGUAGAUAUUAGGAGGAACACCAGUUGCGAAGGCGGCUCUCUGGACUGUAACUGACACUGAGGCACGAAAGCGUGGGGAGGCAAAACA
rnacentral:rRNA from 1 species